ensembl:snoRNA
CGCAGCCCCGUCAAAUUCGGUGCCCGCCCGCGCCGUGGCGGGGACCGGCCAGCCGGCUGCCACAGCAACGCCGUAGUCCAUGGGCCUCGCGUGCCCCUUCCCGUGGGACGCCGGGGAUAAAACUGUGCCACGGACACGC